rnacentral:rRNA from 1 species
GAUGAACGCUGGCGGCGUGCCUAAUACAUGCAAGUCGAGCGAACAGACGAGGAGCUUGCUCCUCUGACGUUAGCGGCGGACGGGUGAGUAACACGUGGUUAACCUACCUAUAAGACUGGGAUAACUUCGGGAAACCGGAGCUAAUACCGGAUAACAUGUUGAACCGCAUGGUUCAACAGUGAAAGACGGUCUUGCUGUCACUUAUAGAUGGAUCCGCGCCGCAUUAGCUAGUUGGUAAGGUAACGGCUUACCAAGGCAACGAUGCGUAGCCGACCUGAGAGGGUGAUCGGCCACACUGGAACUGAGACACGGUCCAGACUCCUACGGGAGGCAGCAGUAGGGAAUCUUCCGCAAUGGGCGAAAGCCUGACGGAGCAACGCCGCGUGAGUGAAGAAGGUCUUCGGAUCGUAAAACUCUGUUAUUAGGGAAGAACAAAUGUGUAAGUAACUAUGCACGUCUUGACGGUACCUAAUCAGAAAGCCACGGCUAACUACGUG